GCUGAGCCUGUGCUGAGUGUUACAGGAAAAGAAACAGUGACACUGGUAGACACAGUGAUGCUGACUGGGGCACAGAGCUGAAUGAUGCAGCAUCAGGACACUGUUUCAGUCUGACUGACAGAGAAACCUGUAGCUGCAUCUACAUGUGAGGCAGAGGCCACACAAGCAGGUUUCUAUGUUUCACAGUGACUGAGAUCUUCAGUGGGGGUGGACAUGCUCCUGUACAGACCUCUGA